GACGUAGGGCGCGAGCGUUGUCCGGAUUUAUUGGGCGUAAAGAGCUCGUGGGCGGUCUGUCGCGUCGGACGUGAAAAUCCAGGGCUCAACCCUGGACCUGCGUUCGAUACGGGCAGACUAGAGUUCGGUAGGGGAGACUGGAAUUGCCUGGUGGUAGCGGUGAAAUGCGCAGAUAUCAGGAAGAACACCUAUGGCGAAGGCAGCUCUCUGGGACGGUACUGACGCUGAGACGCGAAAGCGUGGGGAGCGAACAGG
rnacentral:rRNA from 1 species